rnacentral:lncRNA from 10 species
UAAGAGGUCGACAGAGUCAAGUGCAGUAAACAGUACAAGAAAAUAGAGAAUGGAAAGCUGCCUCACUAAGCUUAGUGAACAGGAAGUAACAAGAAGAAAGCCCUCAGAAUCCAUUCUGUGGAAGGUGACCUCAGGAGAAAAUCAGCUGGACAGGAGGAAUGGAGCCCCAGUGCUCCCUCACCCCCAGGAAGCUGUGUCCAGGCAGAAGCUGCACCUGCUGGGCUCUGUGGAGAGCAGCGGGGAGAGGACU